rnacentral:rRNA from 1 species
UACGAAGGGGGCUAGCGUUGCUCGGAAUUACUGGGCGUAAAGCGCACGUAGGCGGCUUGUUAAGUCGGGGGUGAAAUCCUGGAGCUCAACUCCAGAACUGCCUUUGAUACUGGCGAGCUUGAGUCCGGGAGAGGUGAGUGGAACUGCGAGUGUAGAGGUGAAAUUCGUAGAUAUUCGCAAGAACACCAGUGGCGAAGGCGGCUCACUGGCCCGGUACUGACGCUGAGGUGCGAAAGCGUGGGGAGCAAACAGG